GAUGAACGCUGGCGGUAUGCUUAACACAUGCAAGUCGAACGGACUCUUCGGAGUUAGUGGCGGACGGGUGAGUAACGCGUGAGAAUCUGGCUUUGGGUUCGGGACAACCACUGGAAACGGUGGCUAAUACCGGAUGUGCCGAGAGGUAAAAGAGAAAUUGCCUGAAGAUGAGCUCGCGUCUGAUUAGCUAGUUGGUGAGGUAAAGGCUCACCAAGGCAGCGAUCAGUAGCUGGUCUGAGAGGAUGACCAGCCACACUGGGACUGAGACACGGCCCAGACUCAUAGGGGAGGCAGCAGUGGGGAAUUUUCCGAAAUGGGCGAAAGCCUGACGGAGCAAUACCGCGUGAGGGAAGAAGGCUCUUGGGUUGUAAACCUCUUUUCUUAGGGAAGAACAAAAUGACGGUACCUAAGGAAUAAGCAUCGGCUAACUCCGUG
rnacentral:rRNA from 1 species